GACGAACGCUGGCGGCGUGCCUAACACAUGCAAGUCGAACGCAGUGGCGGACGGGUGAGGAACACGUGAGUAACUGCCCCACUCUCCGGGAAAACAGUAGGAAACGGCAGCAAAUACCGGAUAGGGGGGGAUGAAUCGCGUCAUAUCAGCUUGUUGGUGGGGGAGUGGCCUACCAUGGCGAUGACGGGUAGCCGGCCAGUGAGUGCGACCGGCCCCAUAGGGCUGAGGUACGGCCCAAACGCCUACGGGGGGCAGCCGGGGAGAAUGUGGCACAAUGGGGGAAGCCCUGAUACAGCCCCGCCGCGUGCGGGAUGACGGCCAUCUGGUUGUAAACCGCUUUCCGCCAUGACGCGGUAGUGGCAGAAGAAGCACCGGCUAACUACGUGCCAGCAGCCGCGGUAAUU
rnacentral:rRNA from 1 species